AACGCGAAGAACCUUACCCAGACUUGACAUCGAUCGCAAAGUCCAGAAAUGGGCUCCUCCCCUAAAGGGACGUGAAGACACUUGUUGCAUGGCUGUCGUCAGCUCGUGCCGUGAGGUGUACGGUUAAGUCCGCCAACGAGCGCAACCCUCGUCCUGUGUUACCAGCAUGAAAGAUGGGCACUCACAGGAGACCGCCGGUGUAAGCCGGAGGAAGGUGGGGAUGACGUCAAGUCAGCAUGGCAGUUACGUCUGGGGCUUCACACAUGCUACAAUGGGCGAAACAAAGGGCAGCAAUACCGCGAGGUGGAGCAAAUCCCAAAAAUACGCCCCCAGUUCAGAUUGCAGUCUGCAACUCGACUGCAUGAAGGCGGAAUCGCUAGUAAACGCAGGUCAGCUAUACUGCGUUGAAUACGUUCCCGGGCCUUGUACACACCGCUCGCGA
rnacentral:rRNA from 1 species